rfam:Asian citrus Psyllid, Diaphorina citri - Florida Strain, whole genome shotgun sequence.
ACCUUGGUGGUGUAGUGGUCAAGACGCUCGUCUGGAUUCGGGAGGGCGUGGGUUCGACCCCAGCCCGAGGUA